AUUGUCCGAGGAAAAAGAAGAAAACAUCGCAAGUUGGAGAAACAAAUACUGCAAAAUUCAAGACCAAUUAAAGAACAGUACCGACAGGUAUUUUAAAGAAGUUGACGCCCUUAACGAGGAAAAAAGAGAUUUAAUGGAAAGGAUAUCUUCGCUUCAAAACGAGCUCACAGCAAAGGACAAAGAAAUGGAACUUAUCAAGGCAAAGUAGGUACCAUGCCUUCCUUAGUGUCAACAUUAACUCUGUUGUGGCUGUGCCUCAUUUGCUCGUGAGCCUCGAGAAAGGCUCUUUUUGCUCCCUCCCCACCUCACCCCUACAAUGUAUCUCUGAAAGUGUUCACCCAGCAGUAAUAAUCAAGCUUAUAAUCCAUCAAAUAUUUUCGCUCGCGCGCGAUUGGUC